rnacentral:tRNA from 2 species
GGGCCCAUGGUCUAGUGGCUAAGACGCUGCCUUCACGCGGCAGAGAUCCUCGGUUCGAUUCCGAGUGGGCCCA